rnacentral:rRNA from 1 species
GAUGAACGCUGGCGGCGUGCCUAACACAUGCAAGUCGAACGGAGAUUACGGACGGAAGUUUUCGGAUGGAAGCCUGUAAUUCUUAGUGGCGGACGGGUGAGUAACGCGUGGGCAACCUGCCCUAUACAGGGGGAUAGCAGCUGGAAACGGCUGGUAAGACCGCAUAAGUCGGUUAAAUCGCAUGAUUUGAUCGGGAAAUGAGCAAUCAGGUAUAGGAUGGGCCCGCGUCCGAUUAGCCAGUUGGCAGGGUAAAAGCCUACCAAAGCGACGAUCGGUAGCCGGACUGAGAGGUCGGACGGCCACAUUGGGACUGAGACACGGCCCAAACUCCUACGGGAAGCAGCAGUGGGGGAUAUUGCACAAUGGAGGAAACUCUGAUGCAGCGACGCCGCGUGAGUGAAGAAGUAUUUCGGUAUGUAAAGCUCUAUCAGCAGGGAAGAUGAUGACGGUACCUGACUAAGAAGCCCCGGCUAACUACGUG